CCUACGGGAGGCAGCAGGGGAUAUUGCACAAUGGGGGAAACCCUGAUGCAGCGACGCCGCGUGGGUGAAGAAGCGCCUCGGCGCGUAAAGCCCUGUCAGCAGGGAAGAAAAUGACGGUACCUGAAGAAGAAGCCCCGGCUAACUACGUGCCAGCAGCCGCGGUAAUACGUAGGGGGCAAGCGUUAUCCGGAUUUACUGGGUGUAAAGGGGGCGCAGACGGCGAUGCAAGCCAGGAGUGAAAGCCCGGGGCCCAACCCCGGGACUGCUCUUGGAACUGCGUGGCUAGAGUGCAGGAGGGGCAGGCG
rnacentral:rRNA from 1 species